rnacentral:misc_RNA from 1 species
CAUCAUCCAGAAGUUGUUCAAGCUCAUCUCUCACCUUUUGUACACGAGCAGUCAACCGUGUCAUUUGACUCUUUAAUUUCCGCACUCUAUCCAGAUUACGGCUACUAAUCUUUGAUGUCAGCAUAUCCAGAGCAGGGUAAACAGCAGUUUCCAAUUCUAAUGUGCGCGCAGCAAGGUAACUACAGAUGGCUUCCAAAGCGACCUCUAGGGCUCGGAAUUCAAAUGGAGACUCAUCUUCAUCAGUCGCUUCAAUAUCAUGCUGAACAUUGGAAUCUUUUUCCUCUCUCUGGUCUUCACGAUUUGCAUUCAUUGGCUUCAGUCGCCUUUUGAGUUCCUCAACAACGGGAGUAACAUUGUCAUCUGAUGGAUCCCGAAGAAGAACCUCUUCAGAUGUAAUAAUAGCCUUGAUAUGCUCUAAAUUAAGAACAAUAGCUCUUUCACGGCCAAGAAUGGCGGAAGGAUAAGAAAGGAGUGGAUCAAUAAUCCGAAGAUCACGAGCGUGAAUUUGCACGCGAUGCAUGAUCUCAUAUUUAUCAACAUCUAAAACAGUUUCCAAUCCUGAUGCAUCCAUCAAAAGCCAACUCCUUGCACCCGCUCCCUUCUUCUUCAACCCACCCACCACCGUACCUGGAUCCACCGGCACCACAUGCCCACCUCCUUCUCGACCCAUUAUCAUCAUCAUCAACAACACCAAUAAUCAUUCAACCUCAACAGAAAAUACCCUUUUACACACAAUCAACCAUUACCAGAAUUAUUUUUUUCCACAAUUUGUAUGCAUAUAUGAAUGUAUAUAGAGUAUAUUAAAGAACUUUCUCUGUCGUUUUCUGUACAGAAAAAUUCAAGAAAAAAUAAACCCUAAUUCAAAGAAAUUAUUAGGGUUUUUGGGUGUAAAUUGG